CUCAAAGUACUUCACCAUAGCCAAGUUAAACAUAAGCACUUCAACUUUCAAAACCAUGGCUCAAACCCCAUUUCUUCUGUUGUCAAAUCUUCAAAGCUUUUGGCCUUCUUUGGUUGUGAUAAUCACCUGCUUCACCAUUAUGAUCAAAACCCUAAGCUCUAACUUCAUUCAGACUUAUUCUAAGAAACAAAAUCCAAACCUCCCUCCUGGACCCAAACCAUGGCCUAUAGUUGGCAACCUUCCUGAAAUGCUUGCAAGCAAACCUGCUUAUAAGUGGAUACAUAAUCUCAUGAAACAAAUGAACACUGAUAUUGCUUGUAUCCGCUUAGGAAAUGCCUAUGUCAUCCCAGUCACNUCUCCCACCAUUGCUACCGAGUUCUUGAGAAAACAAGAUGCUACUUUUGCAUCAAGAUCACUCANCAUGGCCAGUGAUCUCAUUACUAGUGGAUAUUCAACAACAAUUUUUGUGCCCUUUGGUNACCANUGGAAGAAAAUGAAGAAAAUCAUAACCCACGAUUUGCUUUCUCCACACAAGCACCUAUGGCUUCACGACAAAAGGAUGGAAGAGGCUGACAACCUUAUGUUCUACGUCUACAACAAGUGCAAAAUGGGGAAUGAUGGUGUUUCUGGCCUUGUCAAUGUUAGGAGUGCUGCAAGGCAUUAUUGUGGAAACCUUAUCAGAAAAAUUACUUUUAAUGUAAGGUAUUUUGGGGAUGGUAGAGAGGAUGGAGGGCCCGGCUUUGAAGAAGUAGAACAUGUUGAUUCCAUCUUUGAUUUGCUCAACUACGUUUAUUCCUUUUCUGUUUCUGAUUAUAUGCCAUGCUUGAGGGGACUUGAUUUGGAUGGCCAUAAGAAGAAAGUGAAGGAAGCUUUGAGGAACAUUAAGAAGUAUCAUGACCCCAUCGUUCACCAGAGAAUCAAACAAUGGAAUGAUGGUUUAAAGGUUGAUGCAGAGGAUUGGCUUGAUGUUCUCAUCUCACUCAAAGAUGCCAACAAUAAUCCAUCGUUAACAUUCGAAGAGAUCAGUGCACAAAUCAUAGUAAUAUAUACUUCACUUCUCUCUUAUUUUGUUUUUCCUUACUUUUAUACAAUAGUUUCUUAUUUGACUUCAUAUCAUGCAUUUUGAAAAGAUGAAAUUCGAUAUCAAUACUCAAACUCAAAAUCGAACUGUUUUUUGUAGGAAUUGAUGCUUGCAACAGUGGACAAUCCAUCCAAUGCAUUUGAAUGGGCACUUGCUGAGAUGAUUAACCAGCCUGAGUUACUGCGUCGAGCUGUUGAAGAAUUGGACAGUGUGGUUGGAAAAGACAGGCUGGUCCAAGAAUCAGACAUACCUAAGCUCAACUAUGUGAAGGCAUGUGCCAAAGAAGCUUUUCGUCUUCAUCCCAUUGCACCUUUCAUUCCUCCCCAUGUCUCUAUGAGUGACACUGUUGUGGGGAAUUACUUCAUCCCUAAGGGUAGCCACGUAGUGCUAAGCAGACAAGAACUUGGAAGAAAUCCAAAAGUGUGGGAUGAACCCUACAAGUUCAAACCUGAACGCCACCUGAAGAGUGAUGCAGAUGAUGUGGUUUUGACUGAACCAAAUCUGAAGUUCAUAUCAUUUAGCACAGGAAGACGAGGUUGUCCCGGUGUGAUGUUAGGAACGACAAUGACAGNGAUGCUUUUUGCUAGAUUGCUCCAUGGCUUCACUUGGACUGCACCACCCGAUGUUUCAACAAUCAAUCUUUCUGAGUCAGAGAAUGAUAUCCUUCUCGCUCAGCCACUCGUGGCAAUUGCUCAGCCAAGGUUGCCACAAAAGCUAUACCAACUGUAAAUUAAACCCAAAUUUAAUUUACCCAGGCGUUUAUACUUUAACAUUGGCAAUAAAUGUUGUUGUAAUACGAUAGGAAUUUGUUUGAUUACUUAUGAAAAUGUCUGUCAUAUAGUGUAAAAGAAGGACUCAACUUGAUACUGUAAUACAAUAGGAACGUCUUUGGAAAAUUGUAUUUUGGCACUGACUUUUUGUGUUACUUCCAUUUGCCUAUUCCUUAUUUCAUGGAUAAAAUAUUAUAUUUAAAAGAUAAAAAUAAUAUAAAUAAAAUUUGAAAGACAAUAAUAAUAUUUAUGAGUGUUAAAUAGGAAUAUAAUAAAAAAACAGUGUCAAAAGUACAAGUUCCAUAAUAAAUAUUUUGGUACAUAUUAAAAUAACCUUAUAUUUUUAACCCUCCAUAAAGUUUAUUUGGUGAAACUACCAAAUGUAAUAUACUUUUAAUUUUAAUAAAAUAUUUUUAUCAUUUUCAUUUUUAAAUCAUAAUAAAUGUAAUACGCAAAUUAAUUACAAUUUAUGAGAAUAAUAAAUAUACAAAAACUUAAAAAAUAAUUAUAUUAUUUUUAAUUUUGAAAAUAAUGGAAAAACCAUAUGCUUGAAAAAGGAAAGGAAGAAGUAAUAAUAGGUUAUUUUUUCUGAUGCCAUACAUCCAAUAUACAGUUUAUUUAAAGAUUCGUAAUUAAUAUCUAAUUAAAAAUUAAAAUAUUAGCUAAGUUAUACUUAAAAAAAAAUCGAAAAAUGAUAUAUAUCGUAAUUACUUUGACUCUCUUAUUUUAAUUUGGUUAGUAAUCAUGUUAAGUUAGUUGAGUCAAGAUAUAACAAUUUCUCCAUCGAUUGACAUAUUUUUAUACACUAUUUAAGCAAAGGAUAAUACUUCAAUACUAUGGAUCAUGUCCUCUAAUCUAUCGUUUAUUGUCUAAUCAACAGAUUUAUGUGUUUCAAACACACUUGGAAUGUCUAAUGAUUCGCCGUUUCACAUUCUUGUUGUAUAACUCUUUAGAAAUCCAUAGCACAAAACAUGUUUUAUAAUUUCGGAAACAUCCAAUCUUCUCCCAUUCAAAAACUCACACAAAGACAUAUCAUCCUUACUCUGUUUUCUAUACCACACCAACAUUACAUUUUGCAAAUUGUAUAAACUCUUCCACCCAGAACUCGCCUAAAUGACUGAAUGUUUCACCGUCCAUGAGGAGACACCUUCGUAACCAAAGAAUGACUCCUUCGUAGGAGUACGGUUAGAAACAAAAUGUUUGUGGCUACCUAUCAAGGAUGCUUGGGAUAAAAAUAACCCAUAAUACCCUAAAACUGGAUAAGCUGCUUCUACUAAUGUCUUUCCUUAAGGACACAUAAUCAAAGAAUCCUAUGCUGGGGAGGUUAACCCCCACACAUCUAGGCCUGAAACCUAGAUGAUGCCAUGCCAUACUAGCCUAUUCUUGGGGCUAUCUAUUUGAAAGAGCUAGAAAUUAAAGGAAGACCUCCUUCCCAUAAUUAGAGUUGAAAGGGGAUUUGAUCCACCCAACAUGUAAAGAAGGCAUGAACAAUAGAUAGGGCAUAUAGGGAAUGGAAUCAACAAUCGAAUAAGUGAUGACUUGACUGAUCUUGAUAUACUCUUUUUUUAGUCUUAGCCUUACUAGCACACCCAAACACAGACCAAGACCAGUCAAAAUCUACCUUCACAUGUCUAACCAAGGCAUAUAAGGGAGGGGUUUACAUAGAAAUAGGAGAAGAGUAAAUAGAUGGAUUAUUCUUGCUCUGAAUCUUGGAUACAACUCUUGUUUUGAAUCGUUCUUAAGACUUUCAUAUAAAUGAGCUCUUUCAAAAUUUUCUUCAUCAAAUGCUAGGUACCAUUUCCUUUAAAUGAUCACCCAUUCAUUCAUCAACAUAAGCUGAACCUCUUAACUUUGUUCGCUUAUAUAAUACUUCACCAUGUCAAGUCCAAACUGUAUAACUUCUCAUUAUUACGUAGAUGAACAGAUGAUCACUGAUAUUGUUUAAGUCUUCAAAUAAUUAAUUAAGACAACGAACACAAUGACAAAAAUAUGUCCCAUUAAGUUGUUUUGUGCGUUCUUUGACAUAUUUUAAGAACUCAAAACCUGCUCUUUCAUACUUUUCACUAAAUAACUUUAUAAACAAUAAAAAGGAAGAAACCACGUCAAAAAAUAAUGCUAACUUACAAAUCCAGAAUACAAAAACACAAACAAAACUAUAAAUGCGAACACAGAUAAAGUAAUACAUUGAACGCAAAUAACAUAAAAUUGACCUCGAAAUGAUGUUAGACUUUGUGAACAAAGAGAUUAAUGGAUGAGGACAAAGGUGAACUCGCUGACAACGAAAAAGCCUCAAGAAAAACGAAAAUCAAUCAAUCAAAACAAAUGAAAAGCAAUGCAAAUGAGAAUAAAAAACUUUCGCAAGACAUAACUGCGUAAAAAAUAACCUAGUUUGUUGAUCGCACUUUUCCUCAAAGAAGAAAGUUCAUGCCAAAAUGAGAGCACAGAGAAACAAUGACAUUGUGUUAUGUUUUUUACAUUUUUUUACAACACAUACGAUGUUGAACGCAGGGUAAAUUCGACAUUAUAUUUAAAUAUAGUGUCAAACUUAUGGCACUUUGACAUCAUAUGACAGUAAAUAUUUAAAUCAGCGUGCCACUAUUUUAUUCUUCUUUUCCUUCUAAACCACCCAUAAAACGUCGAAUGGCAGGGGGUUCGACGUCUUAUUGUUCGAUAGAAGCCAAAGGGUCAUUCUCCCUAUAUCAAAAGGCCUAUAACGUCCAACAGGCCUAGACUUCGAUUUAAUAUCUACCUCGAACCAUUUACUGAACGUUAUGAUUUUUUUUAUUACAAUGCAGUUACGAACACAACACUAGUGUAGAAAGGGCUUUAGACGUCUGUUAUUUUGGGCUUUUAACGUCAGAUCUUGAAACGACAUCUUUAUGGGUGACAUUAAUGGGACGUAGGACAUAUAGAAUCCGACGUCUAUAAAGAUGUCAGUCAUGGCAUCAACCGACGUCUAAGGGCACUAUAAAGACGUUGAACAUGGCCCUAACUGACGUCUAAGGGCACUAUAAAGAUGUCAGACAUGGCACUAACCGGUAUCUAAGGGCAUUAUAGACGUCAGACAUGUCAUUAACCGACGUCUACUAAGCUUUCGUUAUGUUUUAGUGCAGUUUUGCUCAUGUCUUUGGAUAGCCUAGUAGCACCUUCUCCCUUUACUAGUUUCCUCAUAAGAAAAACUUGCGUCUUUUGGAUCUCUUAUUUUAACCCAAAACCGAACCUAGGUCCUUGUCUAGUACCAUUCCAACCACCAAUGAAAAAGAAUAUGGUGACAUGAGAACUAUGUAAGGAUCCAGGUUUGAUUUUGGGUUGAAAUGUCAUAAGAGAUCCAAAAGACGCAGCUUUUCUUACGAGGAAGCUAGCAAAGAGAAAAUAUGCUAAUACAUUAUCCAAAGACCAGUAAUGUUUAUCAACACUCCGCGUUUUUCGCAAUCGCAAAAAAUUCGUUUUCUAAGGAUUAAAAUAACUGGUAAUACUAAAAAUAACUCCUAGAAAAAUUAUGUAUUUUUAUAGUAGUAAAUAAAGAAAAUGAUUAUAUAUAUAUAUAUAUAUAUAUAUAUAUAUAUAUAUAUAUAUAUAUAUAUAUAUAUAUAUAUAUAUAUAAGUGUAAAUAAUAAAACAAGUUGUGAAAAAAUUUAUAUAAAAAUUGAAAGAGAAAAAUUAUGGUAAAAAAAUUAUUAUUUUUAAGUAUAAGCUUUUACUGUUAAAGUAAUUUAUAAUUCUUAUUUAUUAUCUGAAGUAAAUAAUUUUAUUUAUUUUCAAUAUUAACAUAAAUACUUUUACUUAGUAUUGUUUAAGUAGACUUUAUUAACAUCCAACAUUAAAAGAAUUUUAUUAGUACAUAUGCCAAUUUCCAAACACUAACAAAAAUAUUUAUUUAUUAAAAAAAUUAAAAAUAAUUUUAUGUAUAUGAUUUUUUUGAGAAAAUAAAUCUUUUGUAUUGUGUUAGAGUUCACUUAUGCAAUUAUAAUAAUAUUACAAUUUAGACUACUUCAACUUAUUUAAUUUUGGAUAAUGACAUUAAAUACUUGUUCUCUUAAUUCCAUUAAAAGUUAUUGAAAAUGAAUAUGAGAAAGUGAUGUACUUAUUUAUAAUAAAAAAAGAUGAAAAUGAAUGUGAGUAAAGUGAGUAAUAUAAUUUGCUUUUGAACUAAUUGCGUGUAUAGAAACACUGCUAAUCCAUAAAUUACCUAUCAAUUAUUCAAAGUUGUUUAACCAUGUCAAUAUCAAGUAACUGUAGAAAAUUAUUUAUUAUUGUUGCAGAUUGAUCCUAAAAAAGAGGGAAGAUUCUGGACAGAUAAGUGGCUUUUAACUAUACGAGUUUUAAUAUUUCUUAAUGAAACAUGGAAAUUAUUUGGUUAAAUGUGAAAAACAUUUGAAAUAAAUAUUUUUUAUGAUUAAAGUGAACGCUGCUUUCUUAUUCUACGUUUCAAUUAAAUUAUAUUAAAAAUUUCAUUACCUAAUCUUCACUAUUCUUCUUCUUCCAUGGAUAUUCUCUUUCUCUUUCGUCAUCAAAUUUGAGAAGCUUCCCCUUACCAUUUUCUUUCUCCUCCUUCUGUCACCCAACAUAUAUCCCUCUUCCACUUGUUUUAUAUUUGUUUUUCUUUAAAAAAAUAAAAUAUAAAUAAUAUUUUUCUUUAAUCAAUUUAACUUACAUUUUUAAUUUUAAAAAGUUAUAGAAAACAAAAAAAAAAUGAUAAACUUAUAUUAGGUUUAUUUUAAUCUACUUCAAUCUCAAAAAGCAUAUUGAAAUUAUAAUAUCAAAAUCAUACCUUCUUCAUUUUUUAGGGUUCUUCGUACAAAUAAAUUAGUAAUUCACCAUAGUGACGACUCCGUAUAAUCCAACCUAGUGAGUCAUCUUGCUAUCUGCCUUCAAAAUUUGUCACCAUUUUGAAAUCUUAUCCAUUGAGUUUACAAUAUACUAUUUUUCAAUUAAGAUGUUCAAACAUAGUGACUCCUUUUCAAUAUAUAUGCUAAUAAUCUUCAUUUCAAUUGUAUACUGAGUAUGUGUUUGGUUAUUGACUAUCCGGUUUCUGCACUUGUAAUUAAAUAUGAUUUGUAAACAGUAAUAAUAAUAUUAAUCAAACCACACUAUAAAUAGUUCCCGCCCAAGCUCUCCAGCAUAAAAAUUAAUAAAUAAAAUCAAACAUAUGUAACACAUUUUUAUUAUGCUCGUGUUUUCCGUGUGAAGGCUUUCCACGCGCUGUCUAGUACCAUUAGAGUUGAACGUCGUAAUGCACAUCUUUCAUAUAUUUCGCAAGCAGCUUUAACUCUGCUAUAAAUACGCACCAAGAUUUGCUUAUGAACCAUCCAAUUUUUCUCUCAAAGUACUUCACCAUAGCCAAGUUAAACAUAAGCACUUCAACUUUCAAAACCAUGGCUCAAACCCCAUUUCUUCUGUUGUCAAAUAUUCAAGGCUUUUGGCCUUCUUUGGUUGUCAUAAUCACCUGCUUCACCAUUAUGAUCAAAACCCUAAGCUCUAACUUCAUUCAGACUUAUUCUAAGCAACAAAAGCCAAAGCUCCCUCCUGGACCCAAACCAUGGCCUAUAGUUGGCAACCUUCCUGAAAUGCUUGCAAGCAAACCUGCUUAUAAGUGGAUACAUAAUCUCAUGAAACAAAUGAACACUGAUAUUGCUUGUAUCCGCUUAGGAAAUGCCUAUGUCAUCCCAGUCACNUCUCCCACCAUUGCUACCGAGUUCUUGAGAAAACA
rnacentral:lncRNA from 1 species